rnacentral:lncRNA from 1 species
UGUCAGGCUCUACUUUCCUAUCAGAGAGGGGUACCUUACUAGGGCUGAUUGGUGACCAGGUUGAAGCUGAAGCUGAACCAGGAGCAAGGUUUGAAGCAGAAGUGGUCUCGAUUGCUAGUCUCUUUCGACGCACACUUUCCUCCAACCCUCGGAUGGAUUUCCUCCUCUGUGGAAGCUUCAUCUUGGGAGCCAUUUGCACAGGCAGGACUAACAUGGAACUUAGGAGAGCAAAUGUGAGGAAGAGAUGAAGGCUUUUUAGUGAAAAGAUAAGGAUUUUGGAGAAGUGAUGUGCCGAUUUGGAGAAGACGGGUAGAGUUUAGGGUAAUCUCAAAUCGCUCCAAAUGAAGAAGGAAAAGGGGAGGAACUUGGUUCCUAAGUGGGCGAUUUGGAGUGUGAGAGUCGGUGGGAGAGGAGUUUUGAGGGAAAACUUGGGUUUGAGGAAGAAGAGAGGGAGACCUUUGGUUCGGCGGA